rnacentral:tRNA from 1 species
AUAUUUAUACAUUAUCAUUAACUAAAGUCCAAAAGUCAUUCAGAUUUCCUUAGUUUUUACCUAGUGUCCAUUUUUGUUCCAGGAUCCUAUUCAGAAUUCCACAUUAUAGUUUGUCAUUGCAUUUCCUUAGGCUCCACUUGGUUGUGGCAGUUUCUCAGGCUUUGCUUGUUCUUGUCUUUGCACAGUUUGGAGUACUGCUCAGGUGUUUUGUAGAAUGGCCUUCAUUUGUCUGAUGUUUUUCUCAUAAUUAAACAAAGUUAUAGGUUUGGGGGAGGAAGAUCACAGAAGUGUCAUUGUCAUGUUCACCAUUUAUACCAUUUCGAGGUUAUAUACUAUCAAAAAUGGCUUACUCCUGCUGAUGUUGACUUUGGUCACCGGCUGAAGUUGUGUUUGUCAGGUUCCUUCGAUCACUUACCCUAUUUCUCUCCCUUUCCUUAAUGUACUCUUUGGAAAGCAACCACUAUGCAGAGCCCACAAUGAAAGAGUGGGGAAUUAGAUUAUUUGGAACUCUUCUGCAUGGGCGAUUCCCUGAGACUGAGGUUGGUUCUACAUCAGGAAAGCUACUGGAGCCAGGCUGUUGGAACUGCAAUGUAGUCUUCAUGUUCACUGUCCUCCGGUUUGACGGCCGGGGAUCGCUUCUGGCCCCUCCGCCCGUGGGGACCGGUCCGGACGCGUCCAGCCUCGCGACCGCAGGAGGUCUUUCCUGCCGAGGAGUUCGCGCCAGGCGCACAGCCGCUCCCGGAAGAGCCGAGUCAAAACUUCCAGAGACAAAACCCUGCGUGGAAGGCACUCGAGGUUUCUGUCCUGCUCUUACGCUUCAGUCUCCGCAGGGCGGAGCGCUUCCCCGGAGGAAAACGCGCCUCUUUCUCCCCGGGGUCCGGCCCCAGGCCCGUGUCGUGACGUCAUCCACACUUUACAGGUCAUGAGAUUAACCCGCGAGGGCAGGAGGGAACGCAAGACCCGCACACGCGAGGCGGCGCCACCUGGGCAGCCGCACGGGGCAGGCGGAGCCCGGCCGCCGGCAGGUGGAGCCGCCCUACCUGCGUCUGGACCGCGGGGCUGCAGGAAGGGCAGAGGGCGCCACCAGGCCUGAACCCGUCUCGUCUGUCCCCAGAAACCGAUUUGCUUUGGGAUUUUGCACUAAGAGCCCUGUGCACGCCAAGGCCCCUGUGUCACGGGGCCAGAUGUCAAAAACUAAGACGCGAAUUUCAGCUUUCUUGGGACUCCCUGAGCUCAGAGGUGGAGAUCCAUCCUGUCAGGGAGGAGCGCUGUCGGGGCCAGCGAGUGUGGGGUUCCAUGGUGUAAUGGUUAGCACUCUGGACUCUGAAUCCAGCGAUCCGAGUUCAAAUCUCGGUGGAACCUGACUGUUCUCCUUUUCAAGUUUCCUUUUUUACGGGGAGUUGGCAGUGGACCUCCAGUUCACGUGAACCCAGAGUGUGAUCUUGAAGGGGAAGAUGACACCGUGUGGACCUGGACACUGACUCGCUGCCCUAUUGUUCAGACAGAGUAGAGGAGCAUCCUCCCUCCUUCUCCCUGUUUUCCUCUCCCACCUAACAGAUAUUCUGUGACACACAAUUUUGAGUUGAGUUGAACGUUUUCUGAGUUAUUGCUUUAUAAAAUGUAAUGAGCUCACUUGGUGCAAAAGGAUGCAACAGAAUUGAAGGAGAAGAAAGAUUCUUAUGAAUACAAUAUUUGCCCAGAGAAAAUCUGACUUCAUAAUGUCUAUUAGGUACAAUGACCUGAAUUUACACAUCUUUCACUUUCCACUGAGAAACACAGAUUUGGGAAAAAUCUAUUCAUCUAUUAAAUAAAAAAUUUCUUGGACUGUCUCAGAUAUUUGAACACUGAACACUGCUGGAUGCCCACAGAUGUAAAUUUGAAGUACUUAUGGACAGAGCAAAUAAAGAUCCAGAUACAUUUUCUGAGUGUUUCCACAGUGUUCCUUUGGUUAUUUUUAUGACAUUGAUC